rnacentral:rRNA from 1 species
UACGUAGGGGGGCGAGCGUUUGUCCGGAAUCAUUGGGCGUAAAGAGCUCGUAGGCGGUUCAGUAAGUCAGGUGUGAAAGCUCCGAGCUCAACUCGGAGAGGCCACCUGAUACUGCUGUGACUAGAAUCCAGUAGGGGGAGUGUGGAACUCCUGGUGUAGCGGUGAAAUGCGCAGAUAUCAGGAAGAACACCAGCGGCGAAGGCGGCACUCUGGGCUGGAAUUGACGCUGAGGAAGCGAAAGUGUGGGUAGC